rnacentral:misc_RNA from 1 species
AUUCCCAACAAUCUCAAAACAAAUCUGGCCAACUCUCCAUACAAUAAGCCUGUGCGAUCAAAAAGCUGAAGCAUUGCUGUCAUGAACAUAUGAAAUGCCUGGGUGUUCUGGUCUAUCAGAAUCGAUAUCCGGCCAAAAAAGUUCACUACGCCUUGCAUCACUCGAAGGAAAGAAAUCCAAAAGCCAGGAGGAGAUGAUGGAGCACCAUAGGGAUUAUUCGGAUCUUGAUCACCAUAUGGGCCCAUGCCCAUUCCAUAACCACCCAUUGGACCACCAAAACCACCAUUGUACAUUCCCCCACCACCAUACAUACCGCCUCCAUACAGACCACCAUAACCUCCUCUAUACAUGUUAUUUCCAUACAAUCCACCACCAUACCCUCCAAAUCCACCAUGUGAAGAACCAUACAUUCCAGAACCAUAACCAGAAUUAUAAUUUAGACCAGAGCCAUAGCCUCCAUAUGUGCUCCCAUAUGUUUGCUGCUCCCACGGCCUAGUCGGUACAGGCCUACCAAGAGAAUUUCCAUUCACAGUUGUAUUCUUAUUGACAGCUGGAACAAUUUCGCCGGGUUUUGCUGUUCCAGAUGCCUCAACUACAUCACU